CUCUCUGGGGAUGCCUGAGCAAUUCCCUGUGCGUGGCCGCAAGCAGACGUCACUGCCUUUGGAAAUGUUGCAGCCCCUGCUGUUCAUUUCUUCAAAGUCAUGGCUAUGCCAGAUCGUUCUGGGAGAGUUCACUAAACGCUUGUAAUUCCCAAAGAGGAGGCAACUGCAGCUUUCGAUGGAGCUCUGCUUUCAGACUACAAUAAACCGCAUAUCCGCGAAUUUUUUUUUUGUCUUGGAGACAACUGUGAUAGGGUUAGAAGAGUCACUAAUUUUUAAUGCCACCGAAGGCAAAAUACAGUGUCUGAUCACAGCAGUCACUGCCUUGUCACUGCCUUGCUAACUUAAAAGAAAGACGAAUGUUAACAGAAGCUUUUACUUUUAAUUUGAUGAUUUAUCCAUUUUCACAAGGAUUCAUUGAGUGAGGGCCAGGCUCUUGGCUAAGCAUUGCAAAUACAGCAAUGAGACUCGAUGCCCUAAAUUUCACACAAAAGAUCUGACAGGGCCGUGAAUUCGACUGGCAAGGUAAUUUGGCCGUCUGCAGGAUCAAACUAUGCUUUUAGUUUUCAGCUCCCUCUGCUCUAUAGUUGCAAGAGAUAAGAAUUUCCUUUUGCACAGUCAUAGAAAGUUCCAAGUUUCAGUCCAAGUCUUGAGCCAAUCGUUUAGUCAUUUAAGUUUGUCAUUCCUUUUCCUUAAGUGUUUAGUCCUUAAAGAAAGAAUUCCUUUAUCCCCAAAUUUCUCAUGUCCUUCAAACCAUUUUAUGAUGGCGGCAAUUGAGUGUCCACAAAGCCAUGCCUUCAGGGAAUACUUGAUGCCUGGGGACCACAGGCAUUAAUUCAGUCAGCAGUUCCUCUCUUGCAGGCCAUAGGUGCCAGUUACCCAUCUCUGACUAGUUAUCUUCAAUAGCUAAGACAGAUAACUGGUCUCAGAUUCCACGUUUGUUGGUUUCAACUCACUCCUAGAACUCAGUUUCUUCAUCAGUGUUCUUGGUUGCAAAACACAGAACCAAACUUUGGC
rnacentral:lncRNA from 1 species